GGGUGGUUCAGAGGGGAAACUGGGAAGAGGGAUAACAUUUGAAAUGUAAAUAAACAAAAUUACCAAAAAAAAUUAAAGUAAUGAUUCCCACCCAAUCUAAACAAUAAAGACAAAGUUCAGGAAUAAAUCACGAUCUCUUUGGGGAAUAAACCUGUCCCUUCUACCCCCCAAAAAAGAAAGAAGAAAGUUAAAAUACUAUUACAUUUAUUCUUUGGGAUUUGGGUCUGAGUGGACAAGAGAAGGAUCUGGGAACAGAUGUGGAAGGGGAAGAGAAUCAGAAUAUAUUGUAUGGAAAAAAGUCUAUGUUCAAUAAAAAGUAGAAAAAAAAUUUUCUUUUUAAAGAAUGAGGUUACUUCUAGGCGUGGUGGCGCUCAGGAGGCAGAGGCAGGCAGAUCUCUGAGUUUGAGGCCAACCUGGUCUACAGAUCAAUUUCCAGGAUAGGCAGGGUUAAAAAAGAAAGGAAAAGAAAGAAAAGAAAACAAAGCCAGCAAGGACUGCUGAAACUGUGUUGUCCACUUGGACCUCACAUCACCUUUGGUUAGGCAGGGCUUCUCAGUACACACCGCACUCUCCCAACCUAGCUAUUUUUCAGAUACAUCCAACAAUGCUUUUUUAUCUGCUUCCUGGGCCCUAUCCCAGACCUACCAAAUCAGACUGCUGGGCAUGAGGCUUAGGUAUCGAAGCCUUGUGAAGCUCUGGGACGUGUGUGGUGUCAGCUAUCCAUGCAGCUUGUGAGAAUUCCCACUCUACCCGCCCUUUAUGGUUUUGCUAUCCCACAGCAAUGUUUUGCUGAGAUCCUGCUUGUUUCUUGUUGUGGCUAAAGAUAGUAGCAGGAAAAUCACAAAAGGGAAGUGUUCUCUGCGGGAUAAAGCAAGUUACUUCUCUUUCCUACUUACAUGUAUUUUUAUAUGCGUGCUUCUUCACCUUCCUGCCAUUGAGGCAUUCCACCCACUGGCCUAGUGAUAUUUAUUAAAAAAGUUUCAAACUCUUAGAUUUUUUAUUGGGUAAGCAAAAUUUGGAUUACAUAUGUCUUAAUAUAAGUUUAAAAGGGCAGAAUGGCUAGGAAAAGCUAAUUCAUUUCUGUAUUCGCUUAUAUACAUUUUUUGUGCAAGAACACAUAGUGAAUGCUAAUUAUAUAUUGCUUUAUAUGCCUUUGUGUUGUAGUUGUUGUUGUGAGAACACCUAAAAUCAACUCUCAAAGAUUUUGUAGUAUAGAGUAUAUUGUUUACUUUCACUGUAGUGUACAAGAGAUCUCUCAUUUAUUUUCCCUAAGUAAAAACAUGUCCAUUGGCCAACAUUCUCUUCUUUAAGUCUAGAACCCUUCUAAGGAGGGGGUAUACUGACUUAUGGGGAUUGCUGAUGUCAACAGACUGCUGUCUGAUUCAGAUGGUAUUGCCAUGGUCCACUUGAAGGCUGGGAUGGAAAUACAUAAGCAUCUGUGAAGUAUCUUUCUUUCAACUUCAACAUGAGUACAGAGAGCCCAUGAUUGACCUGUUGAUGUGAGGCCAGGUUUUCUGCUGGUGAGGUCUAUAGUAUCUUGUUUUCAUAAGCAAUGUCUGAGACACACCCUUCACAUUUUCUAUUCAAAAUGUCUUUGAAAUAGGGCAUGAUUAAAGAGCCUGAGAGGCAAUCUAAGUAUAGUAAUUCUUAGAGGACUGUAAUUUCCCCCUAGCUUGUCAGAAAUUGCUUUUGUGUUGUCUUUUUAAAGCAUUUGAUUCAGGCUUCAUAGAGGUCACUUCAGCCUCUGUCAUUUUAUAAAAGUAUAUAUUAUUUAUUAAAUUAUUAUGAAAUAUUAAUUUAAAUUGUAAAUUAUAAAUUAAUUUAAAGUUUGAUGGUAAUUACCGUGACCACAAAUGAGUUAGUGAAUAAAGUUAUUAGUUAGGCAUAAAACUCAAGAGAAGACUUUAAUCUCAGCAUUCAGACAUCAGAGACAGGCAGAUCGAAGCCAUGAGUUCGAAGCCAGCCUGAUCUACAUGUGAUACUGUUUCAAAAGCAAAACAUCUCCCACACCAAAAAAGCCUCAGCAAGUCUUCUAAAAUUCAGUCUUUUGAGAUCAUUUAGAACAGUGAUUUCUCGACCUUUCUAAUGUUGUGACUUUUUAAUACAGUUCCUCAUGGUAUCGUGACCGCCAACCAUAAAUUAUUUUGUCGAUGCUUCAUAACUAUAAUUUUUUUUACUGUUUAUAAUUCAUGAUGUAAAUAUCUGAUGUGCAGGAUAUCUGAUAUGUGAUCCCCAUAGGGGUUGAAACCUAUAGAUUGAAAACCCCAAAUUUUAGAAGACUCUAGAUGUCAGUCCAAAUGUUUAACACAAAGAAUGGGUAGAAAGCAAAUUAUUUUGACAAAUCAGUCAAAUUAAUUUGACAAGUCACUUUGGAAUGGUUGAUUACAAAAAUGAACUACAGUAAUCAUAACUCCCACCUCUGGAGCACUUACUAUGUAGCACACUACUUUAAUAUAGUCUCACAUUCACCUCACAAAUAUCCUUUGAGGAAUAGUCUAUAAUUAGCUUCAUUUUACAUGUGGUUUCCAGAGGUUAAGUCACUGAAGGUCACAUGACUUUAUCUUUGGAGAUGAAAUUUGAAGGCAAGUCAGUCUGAUUCUAGAAUCCAGGGUCAGCCAUUAGCCUCUAAACCUAACCUUGAGCCAGACUGAGUUUACCUCACCCCUUCCUGCUGAUCUCUGCUGGCCUGAAAUGAUCUAUGGGACUAGGUCAAGGCUGCAGGCCAUGUGAGGCAAGAGUCAUCAUAACUGAUAACUUGUGUGUGUCCUAGGUCCGUGAACAACUCUAUCAGCCUCUUUUGAAUAGGAUGAGGCACCAUGUAAUUAAUAGAGUUAAUGUAAACAAUGGAUAGAGGGGGUGUUGGGGAGAAAACUUUGAUACUCUAAAUACCAGGCUUCUGAGAGAUAAAUAAAUUCUUGCUGUUGUUUCUGAACACUGUGUCCUGGGUUCUAAAGAAGAUAUUUGUCAUGCUGCCUCCUUUGUGGUCUUUUCCUUGGUGUGAUGAAUGUGGUUUCCUGGCACGACCGUUUUACUCCAGCCUUAAGGCAGAAUACUUCUACCUCAAAGAAAAAUAAAUUGGCUUCAAGUGUAGGAAAAAAAAAACGCUGUCAACCUUCUAAUCUUUCCUUUCCAUCUUCUGCACACCCCACCCCCAACUAUGACUAUUUUGGUCUUCAAGAAUCCAUUGUUCAUUUCCAGAAGGGCAUCGGGUAACCCAGAUGUGCACUCUGGGGGCCUUCCAUAUGGCUUGUCACACCCACAUGUGCUAUGUUAUAAAUAAUUACCAUGGAUUAAUUGCCUAGAAUACCGCUGCAGGCUAUCUGUAACUCCAUGGCUUUGCUCCCACAGGAAGGAUUGGUGGUAGCUUUGCCUGGGUGUCAUUGGCAAUAAAGUGUUUUUCUUAGAAGUUCCCCACUGAACCACAAAGAACUGCCAGCAUUUUGCACCCAUUUUCUUGUCUUUCGCCAGUGAAUAAUGGCAUUUAACUUUCUUUGAAGUGUAAUUAUUCAUCAAGAAGCCAUUUUGUUUAUUUGAUGGUUAUAGGUUUUCAGAGAACGUACUUUUAAAAUAGAUCAUGCUUGAAACAUUUUUUUUCUAAUAAUAAUUUUGAUCUGAGCAUAAAAAGCAGGCUGUUUCUAUCUGGCACUGGCAAGAGCCAUUGAAAAUUACCCUGUGAACUUUUUCUGUAUAAGGAUUUGCUUUCAGGGAAGUAAGUGACUUUGUUGGAACCUUAAAUUGACUUAGACUUAGGGUGUCUUUGUCCAUUCAUACGCAAUUAAGGAUUUCUGCCUGCCAGAGACUAAGUAGCUGAUGUAAGUCCAAAGGAAGCAGGAAGACCGACAUUCUCUUCUCUGAGGCUCUUCCUCAGUGUGAGAGAACAUUAAGCAUGCUUUAUCUAAUUGAAAAGAACGAUAACUUUAUGGUUGUGUCACAUUAGUAUGACUGUGAAUGUGAAUGUCACAUCAGUAUGAUUUUGAGUGUCACAUUAGUGUGUCUGUGAGUGUCACAUUAGUAUGAUUGUGAGCAUUACACUAGGGAAUCCUUCUUUUGUCUUUCUGCAGUUUUAUUUGAAGUUAAGUGAAUACCAAGGUGGACGGGAACAUCAACAUGUCUUUACAGAUGGGAAAAUUUAAAUGAUAUAUAGAGGAGAGGAGUGUUAAAACUUGAGUAAUAGCUCACAUUUACCUUGUAAAGUGUGUGUAAAAUUGUGGAGGAGACCAGCGGUCGUCCCUAAGUGUUGUCUCAAGAGCAGAAACAGCACUGCGGUUGUGUCAGAUUGACCGAAGUAUGAGCUUCCCAGACACUUGAUUAAACAGUAUUCUGGCUGCAUCUAUGAGGGUGCUACUGGAUGAAACUGACAUUUGAAAUGGACUGGCUGCAACAGCUUACCCCUCAGUGAGGGUCUCUUCCAAUGCGUAAGAAGACUAGAUGAUGAGCUGAGGCCUGUCUUGCUGCAUGAUGACUUUUGAUUUGGGUCAUUGGUAUUCUCAGGCCUUUAGUCUUGCACGAGAACUUUUUUUUUUUCAGUUUCAUGAAGUUCUUUUUAUAGUUUUACAAGACAAAGACAUAAAUCAAGGCAAGCUUAAAAUACAUUGGUGGGUACAGCAGACGGGAAAGUAUUACAAGAUGGCAGUAGCUAUGCUGUGGGUGCAAGAUAUUAUUUGAUGACAUUGAGAACUUUUGCUGUCUGUGGGAGUUUGAAUGACAGGUGUCCUCAUAGCCUCAGCUACUGGAACACUCGGUCCCUAGUUGGUGGUGCUGUUUAGGGAGGUUUAGGUGUGGCCUUGCUGGAAGAAGAGAUUUUUGUCAUGUCACCGUACUUUCAGCUAGCUUUCUCUGGGCUUCACGUUUCCUUUGAAGGUGUAGUCUCUCAGCUUUCCACUCCUGUUGCUCACUGCUACAGCUUUCCACUGUGCUGGACUCCUUCCUCUGGAGCCAUAAGCCAAAGGAACCCUUUCUUCUCUAAGCUGCUUUUGUCCUGGCCUAGCAGAAGAGGAAUUAUCACUCCUCCUGUGCCCUUAUUCUUUCCUAUUUUUUUUUAGUGUUUAUUAAUUUGCCUGCAUGUAUGUUUGUGCACCAUGUGCAUGCCUAUUGUCUGCACAGGCCAGAAGAGAGUGUUGGAUUCCCUAGGACUGCAGCUGUGGAUCAACGUGAGCUAUGAUGUGGGUGUUGGGGAUUGAAUGUCGGUCCUCUGCAAGAAGAUACUGUGCUCCUAACUGUGAUGCUGUGAUCUCUACAGCCUUUCAUGCUCUCUCUCUCUCUCUCUCUCUCUCUCUCUCUCUCUCUCUCCCCCUCUCUCUCUCACGGGGGGGGGGUGUUGGUUUUUCCAGACAGGGUUUCUCUGCCCUGGAACUCACUCUGUAGGCCAGACUGGCCUCGAUCUCAGAGAUUCACCUGCUUCUGCCUCCCCUAGGGCUGGGAUUAAAGGCAAGGGCCACCACUGCCUGUCUCAAACCUUACGUUCAUGAUGGUUGACCCAAACAGUCUGCCAUUAAAUACUGUGUUAUUUUACUGUUACAUUAAAAGUAUGCCACCCAGAUCAUUGUAAAAAACCUAUCAGUAUCCUUGUCAACAUAGAACAACAAGGUUUUGGAAUUUCGAAGCCUUGCUGUCAUUUCGCAUUUCCUAUGAUGUAUGUUGUUUCCUUAUUCUUCUGAAGAGCUGUUGUUUCUGACAGGUUCCAGGCCCCUAUUUAAGCUUUUCUGAACUUUUCACAUUUUGGUUUUAUAUCUUAUACAAGUAAAAUGUGUGAGCCAGGCGGUUUACUAACAGCUGGCAGAAUGGUGCAAAAGUCAUGCUAAGGGUUGGGGAUUUAGCUCAGUGGUAGAGCGCUUGCCUAGCAAGCGCAAGGCCCUGGGUUCGGUCCCCAGCUCCGAAAAAAAAGUAAAAAAAAAAAAGUCAUGCUAAGACUAACUUGAGAUACCUGCCCAAACUCUCAUAUUAGUUCAAAAUUUAACAGCAGAAUCCCUAUGGUUUUAAAUCUUGAAGUGUUCAGUGUCACCUCCCUCGUUAUCAAUAUUGCCAUUGUUUUCUUCCCAUGUUAAUCAGUUUAAAAGCUGCCAAUGGAGAUUUAUGUUUAAGAGUUAACAAAUAAUGUCUUCAAGUAGCAUUUUCAUGUGUAAAGUUUUCCAAGGGAAGAAAAGCUCAUCUUGGAGCUUCUUUUGUAGGCUUGACCAUAAAGAUACUGGAAUGGUUUAUUUCUUCUCCUGAAAUGGGUGUGGUUGGGACGGGCUACAGGGUUGAUUACAGAUCUUCACUGCAGACCUUCAUCGUACUGAGUUAGGAGGGUGAUUUACAAUGUUGACCAGAGGUCAGACCAUCUGUGACAAAGCUGUGCUUUCAACACCCCAGGAUUAAAGGGGGGAAAACCACAGGAAAAUCAUUAUACCACAAGCAAUGCUUCCUCCAGCUCCUGCCCUCUCUCCUUCCCCAAAAUUCUGUUACAGGCUUUCCCUGUUUUUACAUCUGAUUGGAUGACGAUGGUGAUGACGAUGACCAUGACGAUGAUGAUGAUGACGACAACAAUGACGACUUGGCAUUGCUGUGAAUUGAAUGCAGAGCUGUGUCCAUGCUAGGCUGGCAAGUGCUUUACAGGGUUUCUCUGUGUGGCCCCGGCUGUCCUGGAACUCACUCUGAAGACCAGGCUGGCUUCGAACUCAGAGAUCUGCCUGCCUCUGCCUCCUAAGUGCUGGGAUUAAAGUUGUGCACCACCACCACCCAUACUUUUUCUUUCUAUCUAUAGAAUGAAAAUAAUGCUACCAAAUGAGAUUGUCUUGCAAGUUAAUUGGGUGAUGUAAGAAAAGUGUUUAGAGCACUACUUGCCAGAAAAGAAAUAUCCAAUAAACAUUAGAUAAAGAAGUGUAUAGCCCAGAGGAAGUACAAGGCACAGAUGCAACACAGCACAGGGCAGUUACAACACACCAGAGACUGACAGCCAGGAUCCAUUUCCGUCGGGCAUGCCAUCUGGUCUAAUCAGAUGGAUUGCUGGGUCCCUUUAGAUUGGUUAGUGACUGUGAUAUUUGAUCUAUCAGAUUUUAGUCUAAAUCAGUCCUAAAAUAUUUGUUUGCCCCAGAAUAUAUGAAAUGUCGGCUAAACAUGUGGUCUCCUGGGCACCUAGACCCAGACACCGUGGUUCAGUUAGUAUAGAGUAGUCAAAGAAUGAUUUCAGGCACCUGAAGGUCUCCCUCCAGAGAAGUUGAUUUAGGGGGUCCUGGAGAUGCUCCUGAAGAAGUAACUUUUAAGCCAACAGCUUAAAUUCUAGCACCUUUAAGCAGGAAGUAGGAUGGAACAAGAGAAAAAAAAGUAUGUAUAUGACAGCACGGAUAAAGCCAGGGAAGUGUUAGGGGAAAAAUUCAGAGUGGCUCGCUGGUGUGGAAGACAGGUAACCUGAGUCGGGAGUGGCUCCGGUUCUAAAGGAAGUGUAAGCUGUGCCUUUUCGUUCUACCACUGGGACAAUGAGGGAAUGGCCACUCAGGCACUGAAGGGACAGCACAGUAGGAUUGUACUCAGACAGGUGACAAUGUCUGGUUCUUCAAGGCAUUAGGUCAACUAAGGUAGGUGGGUCCUCUUGAGAAAACAGUUCUUCAGUCCAUCGUCUACUUUUCCUCUUGCCCUUGGUUCCUUUCUGACCCUUCCCCACUGCUUAACCCUUCCUUGAUCUGCACAGGGCCAACCCAUCCAAUCAAGUUCCUGUCCCGUCUUCCUCCAAGGCUGGUGUGGCUUCCCUGUUGUAGCCUAGGACCUUGCCAGUGUAGUGAUAGUCCUCAGCCAGGGUUUCAAGAACCAGGAAGAAGCAAACGCUAUGGCUGAGCAGUGUUAAACAAAGUUGUCUUUACCUGUCUUUAUCUCUCCGUGGCCACAGAAUUGGCUGGAGUGUGGCCAUAGCAUUGUCUAGAAGAGCACAUACUUGCCUGGGAAUGAGUGAUUUGUCUCCAGCAAGAAACUGUUUGUGUUGUGUGAUGUGACUUCUAUCACGACUGUGGAAGGAACUGAGAUGCCCUAACCAUCAUUGUUGGUCAGGGGUCAUUUUUAUUGAUCCAAAGAAUCUUGAUGUCCCUUUUUGUUUCCACUUUCCUUUCAGCGUAUUUUCAAACAGGGAAAGAACAUAGGGCACAGUUUUUGUUCUCUAGUUGCCCAUUCUCAGACAUAUGGUAGCUAGACGAGCUCUCUUGCUGUCCGUCCUUGGUUUAUUUGGAAUGGAACACAUCCUUCUGGUUACAAAGCUCACACCAUAAAGCCAUCCACAGCCACAGUCCUCAGUGAAACUGGGGAGGAGUGAGGCACAGGAGUAGCUACUUUGUCUGCUUUGCUCCUCUGCUCUCCUCUGUGGAUUCUGUACCUCGGGAUCUCAGAGGGCAAGAAAUAAAGAAAGAACGUGCAGUCUCUAGAAUGGUCAUACUUUUCAAGGUCACGUAUAAAACCCUAGGAUUAGUUCCCACAAUAUCGUUUCUUCAAUUGUUAAAAGAAAACUCUGAGGAAGGCUCUUUCUCUCGCCAGCUGACAAUUUGUAAGGACUCAGCUGUGCCCACUGAUAAUCGGGGUUAGGAAGUGCUGGCUAUUGAGCCGGAACUAGAUAUUUAAUUGUUACUGCAAGAAGAAUACAAAUUACUGAUAAGUGCUGAAGAAGUUGAAACAAAGUACCCCUUUUUUCUUUUGUAAGAAUGUGGAUGCUAACUGAAAGUGUCCACAUGGUUUCAAUUAAGCAGAGGAAUGUUAAAUGUAAAGCUAAAUUGAUGAAAAUAACCAAACUUUCUGACAAACCAAUAAAUCGGAGUCUAGAACUCAUUGCCCGUACUGUAUGGCAGCCAGAGAAACGCUGCUAGAUCAUCAAUUUCUACUUAAUUUUUUUUUCAGUCAGUUUAUACUUAAAAAGAAAAAGGAAUGCCAGGGAAGUGAUUUUAGUUCUUCUGAGCUAUAAACACUGCACAUUGCCCAUCACGCGGAGGCCGUAUUCGCUGUGCACACUGGAACUGAUUGUUUAUUCUUUUUGCCAUUUCCUCACUGAAAUUUUUGGAACCGUAAGACAGUUCUCAGGGAGCUCUCAUGCCAGCGUUUUGGCAAAUGAGCUGGUAAAAUGCUAGUUAGUGAACUAAAAGCUUCUUGGCUUCAUUCCAGGGCAGGCAAUCCUUACUCCUUUAUAAUGAUGUUUUAAUCCCCCCCCGAAACUUUUUAUUUCUUCAAGUGACUGUCACAUUGAGACAACCAGCUACCACAAAAAUUAUGAGUUUGGAGAAGAAAAUUCUUAUUUUUCUUGCCAAAAUUAGGGUACAAUUACAUAGUGAGAAACCUAACUCUGCACAUUUCUGCUUAUGUCAGAAAUUUCCAUUUCUAACCCAGAAUCUUAUGCCUGAGGAAGUCUUUUUAUUUUGUGGGAAUUGUCAGAAUUUGAAUGUUUUAAUCCAAGAGAGGGAGCUAAAGCCAUCUGUCAUAUAGGCCUUCCUGUGACAUAUGAGAUGAGCAUCUUCUGCUGAAAGGUCGAUCAGGAACCGGUCCUUCCCAUGCUGGUCCCCAUUGUCCUGUAGAUUCAGAGGUUUCCUCUUUCUAGGGAGGUGGGAUUGCUGUCCCAUGUCCAUGAAGUUUCUCUGAAUGUGCCAGAGAGCUCAUUUCAAAACUGAUCGAUACAUAUAUGCUUCCUUAAACAUACUGGGGAAUAAUCACUUUUAAAGCUCAGGUGACAUACUCAGCACAUCCUCUACCAAUAGCUAUGACUGUUUGCAAAAGUGGUUUUGGGGUACUGCUAUGAAAUUGUCUCCUCCUCUUCCCCCUCUUCCCCCUCCUCCCUCUCCUCCUCCCCUCCUCCUCUCUUUUCCUUCUUUCUCUUCCUCCUCCCCUCCUUGUCCUCCUCCUCCUUUCCUCUUCCUCCUCCCUCUCCUGCUCUUCCUUCUCUUUCCUCCCCCCUUCUUGUCCUCCUCCUCCUCUUCAUCUUCGUUUUGAGUCUGGAUCUCUCUAUGUAGCCCUAACUACCUUAGAACUCACCACGUAGAUAGACCAGGUUCUUCCCCAGCCCUGGGAUUCAAGGUAUGUGCUACUACACCCAUCCCCCUUUGUGCUUCUUAUAUAAGCUUUAGCCCAUUUCUCAUGCCAUUCAAAUUCAACCAGCAUUUCAAAUCAAAGUCAAUUAAUAUAUUAUUAAUUCACUUAGACAAAAUGUCAAUCCUUACUGCCUAUUUAAAUGAUCACCAGAAGGGAGAAUAAAGUCAUUCUCUCUCUCUCUCUCUCUCUCUCUCUCUCUCUCUCUCUCUCUCUCUCUGUGUGUGUGUGUGUGUGUGUGUGUGUGUGUGUGAGUGUGUGUGUUACUACAGAUAAAACUUAGGGUUUAAUGCACACAUUCUGGCAAGCAUUUUAUGUCUGAGUUUCACCCUUGAAACUCCGCAGAAAUAAUCUUUAUUGAGGGCAAAUAACAUAAUUUUUUUCCAAGUUAGUAUUUUCAGCCACUUGUUUUUAGAGGUGUUAAUGUCAUAGAAAUGCUCAAUCAAUAUUGCUGCUGUAGUUAAAUAAGUGGGAGCGCUUGAUUUUAUUACCCACACACUUUUAGAAUCAUUCUAGUUUCAUGCUAUCUACAUAUUCAAACUCUCACAUAUUAUUUCUUAUAAUCAAAGAUAAAUAUUUGAAUAUUUGAAUUCUGUGGUAAGCUACUAUCUUUCUCCAAGAUUAAUUGACUUAUAAAUAUUGAUAUUUACUCAGUCCCUUUGCUUAGCUUUGGUGUGUAAGGAUAAGGAACAUUAUAUAAUUUUAUAUAAUUUUUGUCCUUGAAUUUUUAAAAGAAUUGCUUAUUUUAUUUUAUGUUUAUGAUUGUUUUGCUCAUGCGUAUGUCAUGUGUAUGUCGUGUGUGUCAUGUGUUUCCUAGAAUUAGAGUUAUGGAUGGUUGUGAACCACCAUGUGGGUGCUGGGACCCAGGUCCUCUGCAAGAACAACUAACUGCCCCUAUUAAAUUAUGUCUCCAGUUUGUGACUUUUAGUAGCUCUCAACUGUAAUGACGAUGAUUAUUCUCUGUUGAUAAGUAUGCUUGCAGCAGCCUUAAAUUCAUUUAGUAGGCAAUGCAAUUCCUAGAUUGUAUUUCUCACACUCUGUCUUAGUCAGGGUGACUAUUGCUGUAAAGAAACACAUGACAAAAGCAUUUCGAGGAGAAGGGGUUUAUUCUACAGGUCCACGUCAUUGUUUAUCACUAAUGUAAGUCAAACAGGGUAGGACCUGAAGACAGAGCCUGGUGCAGAGGCUACAGAGGAGUGCUGCUUAUUGGCUUGCUCCUCACGGUUUGCUCGGCCUGCAUUUUAUAGAAUCCAGAACCACCUUCCUGAACAUGACACUACCCACAGUGUUUUGAGCUUUUUCCACAUUAAUCAUUGAUUAAGAAAAUUUAUCUAUAGGCUUAUGGAGGCUUUUUUUUUCAACUGGUUUGUUCUUUAGUGACCUUAACUUGCACCAAGUUGACAUAAAGUAACCAGGACUUGCUCUCAGUUUAUUUAGUACCUACUAUAUGAUAGAUACUGGAUAGGGCUUAGAGAAGUAUUUUGUUCUGUGGUCAUUAUUUUCAUUUAAAAAUUCAUUCCAUGGGGCUGGAGAGAUGGCUCAGCGGUUAAGAGCACCCAACUGCUCUUCCAGAGGUUAUGAGUUCAGUUUCCAGCAACCACAUGGUGGCUCACAACCAUCUAUAAAGAGAUCUGAUGCCCUCUUCUGGUGUAUCUGAAGACAGCUACAGUGUACUUAUAUAUAAUAAAUAAAAAAAGUUUAAAAAAAAUUCAUUCCUUUGAUGUAAUUAAGGUUGACUGUACUUGUUAAUUUGGUAUUUCUGGCUGUAUAUUAAUAGAAAUAGAUGGUAGAGAGCCAAGGUAACUGUUGAGUUCAGGAUGACAAGUGAAGAUUUGUGAUACAUUCUGUAGUCAGACAUCCCUCUAACGUUACCUCCCUUUCUUCUGGU